GAGCUGUCAGAGAUUUGAAAAAAAAAAAAAAAAAAAGGCAGCCCCGGCGCUGGCGGAGACGCGCUCUCCCUGCAAAAAAAGCAAAGGCGAUUAAAGGCGCUGCCAGCCUCGCGCUCUGGGCACAGCUUAGCGUGACACUCGGGGAAGUCAAACCCCUCACUACUGCCUAGGAAGAUGGCUAGACUUUAAAGACUAUUUUUUUCCCUUUAAGAAAAAAAAUUCCUUGGAGCUUUUUUUCUUUUCUUUUUCUUUUUGUUUUCUUUUUUUUGGCCGUGGCUUACUCCCCAUUUAAAACAAAUCAUUGAAUCUGGUUGCAGAAAGAAAAAAAAGAAAUAGCCAAGUGUCUCCAUAUCUGGAUGUCUACAAAUUAGAGAGAGGGAGAGACAGCGAGAUCUAUCUGCUCGAUAAGAGCGAGCGAUCCCGGCCAGACGCCUGGGUUUUUUUUUUCCUGCACCCGCCCCGUGCCUUCGCUGGGGCUUCGCCGGCCUCCUUCCUCCGCGCACCCCUACGGGCCGCUGGCAAAGUGGGGUGGGGAGCGAAGCGGGGGGGGCGGGGGCCGGCGCGGCGGCCGGGGCGGCGGGGCGGCCGAGCAUGGAAGAACAGCAGCCGGAACCUAAAAGUCAGCGCGACUCGGGCCUCGGCGCGGCGGCGGUGGCGGCGGCCCCGGGCAGCCUGAGCCUGAGCCUGAGCCCCGGCGCCAGCGGCAGCAGCGGCAGCGAUGGAGACAGCGUGCCCGUGUCCCCGCAGCCCGCGCCCCCCUCGCCGCCCGCGGCGCCCUGCCUGCCGCCCCUGGCCCACCACCCGCACCUCCCCCCGCACCCCCCGCCCCCGCCGCCGCCGCCGCCGCAGCAUCUCGCGGCGCCUGCUCACCAGCCGCAGCCCGCGGCCCAGCUGCACCGCACCACCAACUUUUUCAUCGACAACAUCCUGAGGCCGGACUUCGGCUGCAAAAAGGAGCAGCCGCCGCCGCAGCUCCUGGUGGCAGCGGCGGCCGGAGGAGGCGCAGGAGGAGGCCGGGUCGAGCGUGACAGAGGCCAGACCGGCGCAGGUAGAGACCCUGUCCAUCCGCUGGGCACGCGGGCGCCGGGCGCCGCCUCGCUCCUAUGCGCCCCGGACGUGAACUGUGGCCCACCCGACGGCUCUCCGCCAGCCGCCGGCGGCGGUGCGGGUGCGUCUAAAGCCGGGAACCCGGCGGCCGCGGCGGCCGUGGCGGCGGCGGCAGCGGCAGCGGCCAAGCCUUCGGACAGCGGCGGCGGCAGUGGAGGCGGCGUGGGGAGCCCUAGUGCGCAGGGUGCCAAGUACCCGGAGCAUGGCAACCCCGCCAUCCUGCUUAUGGGCUCAGCCAACGGCGGGCCCGUGGUCAAAACUGACUCGCAGCAGCCCCUCGUAUGGCCCGCCUGGGUGUACUGCACGCGCUACUCGGAUCGCCCGUCCUCCGGUCCGCGCACCAGGAAGCUGAAGAAGAAGAAGAACGAGAAGGAGGACAAGCGGCCGCGGACGGCGUUCACGGCCGAGCAGCUGCAGAGACUCAAGGCGGAGUUCCAGGCGAACCGCUACAUCACCGAACAGCGGCGGCAGACCCUGGCCCAGGAGCUCAGCCUCAACGAGUCCCAGAUCAAGAUCUGGUUCCAGAACAAACGCGCCAAGAUCAAGAAAGCCACGGGCAUCAAGAACGGCCUGGCGCUGCACCUCAUGGCGCAGGGACUGUACAACCACUCCACCACCACGGUCCAGGACAAAGACGAGAGCGAGUAGCCGCCCGCCGGCUGGGGCCGCGCGGUCCGGCCGCCGCGCCCGCGCCACCUCCUGGCAUCGCCGCCGCCGCCGCCCGGCCGGCCCCACACCGGGAGAGAAAGAAUCCGCGCACAGGAGGGAGGGAGCAACAGGGAAGAGAGAGAGAGAGAGAUUCUCAGAAUGGAGAGUCACGUUUGAACGAAACAUUUUUAAAAAGGGAGAAAGACUCGGACAGGUGCUAUCGAAAAAUAAGAUCUAUUCUCUAUUCACAGUAUAAGGGGCGAAACUGCGAACUCCUUAAAGCUCUAUCUAGCCAAACCGCUUACGACCUUGUAUAUAUUUAAUUUCAGAUGGUCUUGAGCAACUCGGAGGUAUUGAUGAUGGAUACAAUGAUCUCUGUAUAAGGAGGUCUUAGCUAUGGGCCUGGCAAAACGAUGGUCAACCCAUUCAUUCAACAGAUGUCUGUAGAGCAGCUGCUAUGUUCCAGAAUGUGGGCCUGAAUGAGACAGGCAAGACCUCUGCCAACAUGGACCUCACAGUCUCGUCGGAGAGCCAACCAAUAAACAGGAGUUUCCGGAAGAGUGUUCCCAUCCUAUGGCUGGGCCAGGCUGAAGCGCAAGGUGGGGGGAACCUGCUGCUCUUCACUGCUUCCGAAUGGAAUGUUUUUGAGACAGAAGCAUGAGGACUCUUUCCCCCGUGUUUCACACAGAUCUGCCUUAAGAGAUCACUUCCACCCUGAUGUGUUUGCUAGGAUAGCAUGUGGGGUUCCGAAACAGGCUUACCCCAGCAUCUGAUCACUCCCUGGCUACAUUCUUCUGAAUGAGAGUGGAAUCGGAGGCCACUUUUCACGGAGGGGAGCUGCGCUGGGCCCCACCUCUGGUCCACAGGAAAUCCUAGGACAGGGGACAUCCAGCCAAAGCCCUCCCUGGCCACCUGCGAUCAUUCCAGAAGCGCCAUGAAUCUCAGCGCCCUUGGCACAAUGAGAGAAGCAAUCGAAACAGGAUCUAGGUCCAAGCUGUUACUUAAUUACGAUUAUUAUUUUUCAUUUCACCACCAGGAAAUUUCAACCCCAGGAUGGCCGAAAGCAGAAGGCCGCACACCCUGGAGUCGGAAACCUAUUUUGUAAGCACUUCCUCGCAGCCUCCCAAAGUUUAAAUAUUAAUUUGCCUGUAAUUGGCGGAGAAAACAAACAGGCAAAUUAAAAACGCGACAAAGCUGACUUUCUCCUUCCUCGGAGCUCCCUCCCUUUUCAUUUCACUGCCGCCCGCCUAGAACGGGGAUAUAAGACAAUGGGACCCAGAGCUGGGUGGAAUUCUAAGCCUGGGCUUGCCUUAAAGCUACAAUAUGGAUUUAAUUUAUAUGCAAAUGCAAGCAAUAAAAAGGCAGACACUGUAGAAAUUAUAGGGUUUCCCCCCUCCUUUUCUUAGGAGAUGCUCAAACCCUUUCUCUCCUCUUCCCACUAAGACCUAAUUAUUAUUGGUUCUUGCUCCCUUCCCCUCUCCUGCGCACUCUGGGUGUAAACUGGGCCUUUUAAGAAAAGCAAUGGAAGACUGAGAAUAAGAGAAGGAGCAUCAGGAUAAUUUCACAGUCUGACUCCCCACCCCCACUUGGGUUUUUUUUUUUUUUUUGCCUGCCGGGGCCCUCCUGUUGGUCAGUAGAACGCAAAACUGAUCAAAGCCAGCCGGAAGCCUUAAGUAGGCUAAAAUGGGGCUAAAGUAUGCUAAUAGAGGAGCUAAAUAUACUUUAAUCCUGUUAUAAUACAAGGUAACUUGGAGGCAGGGAAAGGGCCCAGUGGCUUUGGCAGGGGGCGGAGGGGGGCUGGGGACCCCUGUGAACCCUGAAUAGAAGUUGCUUCCUAUUCUUUCUCUGGCUGGGGGUGGGGUGGGGGCCUUCUUCCUCAGAUGCCCACACGAGCCCCGCCUGUCCCGUUUACUGAGUGUCAACAGUUGGGUGAGCAAGACUUCUCAGCCCUUAGAUCAGGACCCUGUGACCCUCCGCACUGAGGCCGCACCAUUCAGCCAAGCCUUCCAGCUGUUGUCUGAAGGAUGAAGGGUUUUUGUUUUUUUUUUUUUCAAAGUAGGGCAUGGCUUAGGAGAACACUAGGCAACAGUUUUAAAUUAUGUCCUUACCACCACCCAGCUUGCUCUGCAGAUCGUGGGGUGGGGAGUUGGUCUGUGCAAGGCCCGGCGUGUCUAGCCUGGUGAAGAGCAACAUGGACACACAGAUUCAUUUUGGGCAGCACUGAGCAGGCCUUGGAAGGGAACCAGCCUCUCUGGCCACCUUCAGAGCUGGCUUCCACCAGGCUAGCCUUGAUUUUACGGAGGAGACCGGGACUGGAAGUUGAUUUGGUUAACUCUCGCUGAAACAAGAGCUGGGAUACUCUGUUUCCCAUCUCUUUCUGGGCUCUCGGCCUCGGAGGCUCAUUCCAGAGUCAGGGACGCAUUUCCUGGGCCCGGUCUCCCUUUGGAAGAACCGGGGUCCAGGCCCCCCUCCCCUCCCGGAGGACCUCAGAGGACACGAUGCAGUUUUGCAGCCCUGCCAACUGACGCUGGUAUCAGAAGCUUGGAAACAAAGGUCGCAUUGAGGCCUACUUCCCACUGUGCGUGUGGCUGGAAGUCUGAAGGGUGGGGUGGGGAGGAGGCCAACGGUCCCAGAUACCUCUCUGUUAAGUACAAAUUACAUACUGGAUGUAUUAAGUUGUAAUGGUGUGUUUUGCCUCUGACUUAGUUUCAUGAGAACGCCGGUGCAUCCUCCCAAAUGCUGAGUGCGUGACACAUGCAAACAAAAAGAAUUCAAU